AUGUAGUGAGGCUAACGAAGGGAACUGAAACAUCUUAGUACCUUUAGGAAGAGAAAAUAAAUAAUGAUUCCCCUAGUAGUGGCGAGCGAACGGGGAGUAGCCCAAACCUGCUUUGUGGCAACGCUUAGCAGGGGUUGUAGGACCACGCUGUCGUACUUAGAUUGUGAGGAGAAUGUUCUGGAAAGAACAAUCAUAGAGGGUGAUAAUCCCGUACCCGAAGCAUGACGAGACGUAGUGGCAUCCUGAGUAACGCGGAACACGUGAAAUUCUGCGCGAAUCCGCCGGGACCAUCCGGUAAGGCUAAAUACUCCCGUGAGACCGAUAGUGAACGAGUACUGUGAAGGAAAGGUGAAAAGCACUCCUAUUAGGAGAGUGAAAUAGUUCCUGAAACCAUGCGCCUACAAGCGGUCGGAGCUGCUUGCGCAGUGACGGCGUGCCUUUUGCAUAAUGAACCUACGAGUUACCAUGUCUGGCAAGGAUAAGUGUUAUGAGACAUGCAUCCGCAGUGAAAGCGAGCCUGAAUAGGGCGUCAAGUCAGAUGGGGUAGACGCGAAACCAAGUGAUCUACACUUGCCCAGGUUGAAGUCCGGGUAACACCGGAUGGAGGACCGCACGGAUAAGCGUUGAAAAGCUUCCCGAUGAGGUGAGUGUAGGAGUGAAAGGCCAAUCAAACUUGGAGAUAGCUCGUACUCCCCGAAAGGCAUUUAGGUGCCGCGUGCGAUGAUCUCCAUAAGAGGUAGAGCGACCGAUAGGUCAAGAGGGCUU
rnacentral:rRNA from 11 species